rnacentral:rRNA from 1 species
GACGAACGCUGGCGGCGUGCUUAACACAUGCAAGUCGAACGGAAAGGCCCUGCUUUUGUGGGGUGCUCGAGUGGCGAACGGGUGCGUAACACGUGAGUAACCUGCCCUUGACUUUGGGAUAACUUCAGGAAACUGAGGCUAAUACCGGAUAGGAACUCCUGCUGCAUGGUGGGCGUUGGAAAUUUUAGGCGGUCGGGGAUGGACUGGCGGCUUAUCGGCUUGUUGGUGGGGUAGUGGCUUACCCACCCCUUGACGGGUCGCCGGCCUGAGAGGGUGACCGGCGACAUUGCGACUGAGAUACGGCCCAGACGCCUACGGGAGGCAGCAGUGGGGAACAUUGCACAGCGGGCGGGAGCCUGAUGCAGCAACGCCGCGUGCGGGAUGACGGCCUUCGGGUUGUAAACCGCUUUCGCCUGUGACGAAGCGUGAGUGACGGUAAUGGGUAAAGAAGCACCGGCUAACUACGUG